UCGGGAAUUUUGGGCAAUGGGCGAAAGCCUGAUCCAGCCAUGCCGCGUGUGUGAAGAAGGUCUUCGGAUUGUAAAGCACUUUAAGUUGGGAGGAAGGGCAGUUACCUAAUACGUGAUUGUUUUGACGUUACCGACAGAAUAAGCACCGGCUAACUCUGUGCCAGCAGCCGCGGUAAUACAGGGGGUGCGAGCGUUAAUCGGAAUUACUGGGCGUAAAGGGCGCGUAGGCGGUCGAGUAAGUCGGAUGUGAAAUCCCCGGGCUUAACCUGGGAAUUGCAUUCGAUACUGACAAGCUAGAGUAUGGUAGAGGGUGGUGGAAUUUCCUGUGUAGCGGUGAAAUGCGUAGAUAUAGGAAGGAACACCAGUGGCGAAGGCGACCACCUGGACUGAUACUGACACUGAGGUGCGAAAGCGUGGGGAGCAAACAGGAUUAGAUACCCGUGUAGUCCCUGAGCGGGCUGGCAAGGCGCAU
rnacentral:rRNA from 1 species